AAAAUCAGGGGAAAUACAGCAUACCUGAGCCAGAAUGAUUAGCUUGCUGUGGACUCAUUCUCGUCUCUCAUAUUUGGUCAUACAUAUAUGCUUCCAGACAGAAUCAGACAUAGGAAUUGGGUACAAUGACUUCUUCCUGUUUCUAGAAGACUUUUGAUUGGCAGUUUAUUGGGACAGACAUGAUGCCACUUCCCAUCUGGAGCAGUGUGAAGAGUAAUAGAAAAAUUUGACAUAAUUUCUUAGAGUUGCAGUGAAGAUUCAUUUUACAUGGCCAAAUGAGAACAACUGAAAGAGGGAAAGCAUUGCCACACAUGUAAUCUGACAUUUUUAUUAUGUAGUUCUACAUGCAGAAGUCAUGGUCAGACCAAAAUAUACUCCAUAAUCAGCAUGUACCAAAUGAGAAGCACAGUGUACCAGGCAAUGUAGCUGAGAAGCCUUGAAGAACUGUCUCCCAACAUCCGAACAAUCCUGAACUUUCAAGUCAGCAUUGUAAUGUGCAGGAUGACAUGUAAAGAAAUGCAUCACCACUUUCUUGCUGGAAUGCCAGAAGGAUUCUGUAAGCAAGAAGCCAAUGGGGAUGAAAACAUCACUAUUGUAAACAAAAGUGCUUUUGCAACUGGCCAAACUAGAAAACAAGUAAUUUUAGUUCUGUCUUGUUUUCAUUUCUUUUGGUAG
rnacentral:lncRNA from 1 species